rnacentral:piRNA from 1 species
UAACACUCUGGAANUCAGGUGCUAAGAGCCC